AAUGGGUAGCUGGGUCAAAUGGUGGUCACAUUCCAAGUCUUCUAAGGAAUCUCCAUACUGCUUUCCAGAGUGGUUGUACCAGUUUGCAGUCCCAUCAGCAAU
rnacentral:pre_miRNA from 1 species